AGCAAAACUAUAAAUUUUUUUAUUAAUAUAUAGAGAUAUUAAUUUAUAGAUAUACUAAUUAAAUCAAAAAUUCGAUUUGAGACUAUAAAAUAUAGAGAUUUUCGGUUUAUAUUAAUUUUCAGAUUUUUCAGAUCUCGGCGUUUCUUCCAAGUUGACUCAGUGGGAGUCCUCCUCCUUAGUCGGUGUGACUUUCGGCGGAGAUUGGUAGGUUUCUCCGGUUCUCCGGAAGCAUCGUUUUCAUCCUGGGCCCUACAUCCCAGCGCCGGCGAUGGAUCUCCGGUCUCGUCCGGUGUUUGCUGUUCCGGUUAUCGUUGCUGUCAUCGGGUCCGCUUUCAGUGUAUUUUGGCGUUGGAGCGAGUAUCGAGUCCGGUGGUGGCGGUUUGUUUACAUCCGCCGCCUACCACAUUGAAGCUGUGCCUUUCCACUUCAAUGUAAUCUCUUCUUCUCCUCUGUCCUCUGUGAACCUGAGUUGCGAUGCCUUGGCCUGCUCUGCUCUCGUAUGUGGAUCUCGGAUUGGUGUUGGCUGUAACAUGAGCGGUAUGAGGCAAGAGUUGGUCCCUGGUUCUGUGUCAAUCAGUCUUGGUUGAUGGGUUCGGCAUUGUCUGGAUACCGAGUCUGCUUUUGCUCGUCUUGGAUACAUAUACAGGCUAGGCCAUCAUGACUUGGUCAUAAUAUUUGGAGCAAGACUCAUUUGCACUGUUUUGGCUUGCACUCACGAAUAGCUGCGACCCCACCAAAUGAGCUUCAUAAUUUUUCUUUCUUACACUUAUUAGCAUUAUUGUUUCUUUUUGAUACAGGUUUUACAAAAUUAUCAUGGAAAAUACUUGUUGAUUUGUUUAGUUGCAGAGAUCAUCUCUGUACUAACUAAAAUUUUGACUCUCUUUGUCUUCUGCACAAAACACAACACAGCGACCAAAUGGUAUUAUUUCUCUUCUCUUCACUCAGAUAUCUCUACCUCAGGGGACUUGUCUUGUUGCUUCUCAAGUGAUAUCAAGAUCAUCAACUUUGAGGGCACGAUCUUUGAUGGGGGAGGAGUAUUAACACUAAACACCUUGUAUGACAAAACUAUGAGUUGUAUAAUGUAUAUCUUUGUAUAAUGUAUAUCUAGUCCACUUACAUUGUUGUUGGCUUGGAAAUUUUCAAAGUAGAGUUGAGAGGGAGA